rnacentral:rRNA from 1 species
CCUACGGGCGGCAGCAGUGAGGAAUAUUGGUCAAUGGGCGUAAGCCUGAACCAGCCAAGCCGCGUGAGGGAUGAAGGUUCUAUGGAUCGUAAACCUCUUUUAUAAGGGGAUAAAGUGUGGGACGUGUCCUAUUUUGUAUGUACCUUAUGAAUAAGGAUCGGCUAACUUCGUGCCAGCAGCCGCGGUAAUACGGAGGAUCCGAGCGUUAUCCGGAUUUAUUGGGUUUAAAGGGUGCGUAGGCGGCCUUUUAAGUCAGCGGUGAAAUUCUGUGGCUCAACCAUAGAAUUGCCGUUGAGACUGGGAGGCUUGAGUAUGUUUGAGGCGGGCAGAAUGCGAGGUGUAGCGGUGAAAUGCGUAGAGAUCACGCAGAACACCGAUGGCGAAGGCAGCCUGCCAAGCCAUGACUGACGCUGAUGCACGAAAGCGUGGGGAUCAAACAGGAUUAGAUACCCCUGUAGUC